UCUCCUUUUCCCUGGCUACUUUCCCUCUUUCUAUUACAACCGACAUCGUUAUCAUCUUCAUCAGAACCAAACCUUCAUUGUCGUCGAAGAAGAAAGGUAUCCUCAUUGCCAGAAGAUGAAUUGUUUCUUCUCCAUUUUUAUUUCACUUUUAUGAAGUAAACCCAAGAUUCAAAUUUUUUUAUCUUCCACUUCAAAAUCUUUAACCCGAUUAUAAUCUAAGAUGAUAUAUGCUCACCAUGCUAUAAUCUGGAUUACCCAUAACAUGUUUUUAUUCUCAAAUCAUCUACAAUUUACAAAUUUUCGACCUAAUGAGGGAAAUCAGAGUUAAUCGAUUGCAAGUGUUUUUCUCUGUUCUGUGGGUGUUGUUGGCACGAGAUUUCCCCCAAAAUCCCUUCUCUUUUUUCAGAAGAUUUCUUAGAAACCCACUUGAGUCAUCAACUCUUUCAGGGGAGAGAUAUGAUAGGUAGUGAAAGAACUGGUACAUGGAUAAAAUCUUGAAAUUUAAUGAGGCACAUGGGUAUGUUGUGUUUUUUUAUCUUGGUUAACUUCAGUUGUUGUGGAACGUUUGAUUGGUGCUGUGGAUACAUGUCUAUUGUGUUUUGAAAAUUCGCCUUUCAGUAGAUAAAUGUUAUUGUGUUUUGGCUCAUUGAAUCCUACAAGGGAAUUGGAGAGUGUUUUGGACGAAUAAUCAAGGAAAAAGGGUUUGGAUCAUUGUGGAGAGGAAACACAACCAAUGUCAUCCUUUACUUCCCUACUCAGGUUGGAUCAUAUGUGUUUUCAAUCCAAAGAGUAAAAGGAGGCAGAUUUCAUCUACUCAAUUUAUGAGAGGAAUUCAUCCUCCUGCUGCAGAUUAUCUAAGCUACAAAGAGAAUUCAAAUAUCCAAACAAUGAAAUGGAGGUAGAAGAGAACGGAGAGCAGCGAACCCAGGAAGAAGAGGUUGUUGAGGUCGAUGUUGAUUCUACAGAUGGCGCUGUACUUGUGAACAGUAAUAAAGCUGAUGAAGAGUGGGGUACGACUAAUGAAGGAAACUUAUCAUCCUAAAAGCUAUUGGUUUGGCUAAAUAGGUCGCAGAUAUGAGUAAUAAGUGCGACUAUUUACAAGGCUGGUUAUGAAGCAACAAGAAACUAUACUUGUUUGAGCAUGUAGAGGUAUACGGGAGAACUCUUUAGUUUAUGAUUUCAUGAAUUACCUAAGUUCAACAACGGUUAGUGUUUAUAAUUCAAUGUAUGAAAUGACCAUGUAUUGUUACGUCUCUUAGAAACUUAUGGUUCUAUGCUUUGAAUGUUUUGCCUAAGAACUGAAGAAUUUCACUGUAAAUCCGCCUGAAAUUGUUGCAAAGAAUGAA